UACAGAGGGUGCGAGCGUUAAUCGGAAUUACUGGGCGUAAAGCGCACGUAGGCGGCUUGGUAUGUCGGGUGUGAAAUCCCCGGGCUCAACCUGGGAACUGCAUCCGAAACUGCCUUGCUAGAGUAUGGGAGAGGGAAGUGGAAUUCCCGGUGUAGCGGUGAAAUGCGUAGAUAUCGGAAGGAACAUCAGUGGCGAAGGCGACUUCCUGGACCAAUACUGACGCUCAGGUGCGAAAGCGUGGGGAGCAAACAGG
rnacentral:rRNA from 1 species